rnacentral:lncRNA from 1 species
AAUGCAAGUGUUUAACAGAUGCUUCACUAUUAAAAUAUUUUCCCCCCAAGUCUCAAAUAUUGAAGAAUCUCUAACCAGGCUCGAAACGCCGGUCUCAGUGGCUAUUGAGUUACCCACCAAGUUACCCCGGUUAGAGCUGUUUGGGGUGGCUCACGUUAUUGCGGCAAACUUUGGAGAUGACGGCUGAGUCCUCCGGGCGAACAUGUCAAGCCGAUUGUAAAUGCUGUUAUUUCCACAUCCUUCAGGGACACCAGUCCCUACGAAGACCUUGGGCGAUUUUGAAGUGCGGGCACCUCGAUUCCCCGAAUCUGUAGUGUGGCUGGUAUCGGUGUUCCCCUGGUUUAACUAGCCUGUUUGAAGGCACAGAUCAUUCAUGGGGAUGUAUAACCGAAACCAGUCCUCUCCACCGCCUGGGGAUCUUCACUUUCGCAGUCUACGACUGCCUGUGACUCCAGAAAGACAAACUGCAGAUUGGCCAAGGUACAUCUCAGAUCAGAUCCCUCUGGGAAAAGCGCGGGAAUGCUUGGCUCUAGUAGUUAGGAGCUCUGGUGAGAGCGCCCCUAGUGCCAUUUUCCCAUCCCUGCCCUUGACAGUCCCCUUUGGUCUAAAUUCACGGUUCUAGACAGUCAAAGUCUACCUGCUGGGUGUCCACUCUCAAGCCAUAGGUUUUCAAUCCUAAAAGGGAUUAGGACCUUGGCUCAAAAUGUGGUCAACGCAGUGUUCAAAUUAGGAGGGCAGCUGGGAGAUGGCAGCAGGGGAUGAAAGUAUGACUCCUACUUCGUCCGCAACUGUGGGUCUGGCACCU